AGGGCGCUGUUAAAAAGAUGCGCGACUUUUCGUACUUCUAAUCAAAGUACAACUGUUGUAGACGAAGAUGAUAAUUUUAAUGAACCUAUAAAGUACUCAACUUCUAAAGCAGCAACGUGGCCUGCUAAUGGGAGAGGAAAAUGACAUUGAUGAGAAACUAGUUACUUUGAGCCCAGAAAUGCAGGAGUUUUUCAAUGGUAUUAAAAAA